CUCUGUAAAACUAGGACUGAAUGUUGAGCGCAAAGAGAUAACUGAGAAGUCUGUGGUGUGAGGACAGCAAGAAUUUCAUUUAAUGUAGGCUCACAGACAUUAUAGAGUUUUGACACAAAUCAGGGGCCUUAAUCUAAGCAGAGUGAAGAAAAACAAAACCUGCCCCACUGAAGGAAGAUUUAACUCAAUUUUAUAUCAAGUCUAUGGGAUAAAAGAAGCAGAUGAAAAUAUUACCGGAAGGUCAGCUAAUUUGUACUUUUGAAGAAAACCUGACAAAAUCACUCAGUAGCUGGAUAAAUUUGUCAAGAAUCUUUCAGAAGAUAAGAUUCUACAUACUAGGACCAGUGUUCAAAUGGACCUAACAAGUGAGACUAUUUAAAAACAUCUACAUAUGACCAGGAGAGAUCCAAGCUUGGCAUGGGUUUUAUCUGUUACAAUGAUUCUUCCCAGGCCAUAAGAUUUAAGGUGAAUUUAAGGUCACACUGUGUGCAGUAAAGGACUUGUGAGGAGAGUAGACAUGACCACCCACCAAAGAUCACAUCCAACCCCUUUGCUGACAAGAGACAUACACAAGGAAUUCUUUUAAAGGGUAAAAAUAUGUUCAGAAUGGUGUAAAAAGGUUCUCUAGCUCAAUAAUUAACUCUGAGUCCUCCUCAGACAAACGUGUCAGUGCCUCCACUGUAUUAACUGCAAAAGGCAGGUGAGGCUGCUGGUAUUCUCAGAAGGCAUCUCCUGGCAGAAUGAUUAACUACAGAAAAAGUUAUGUUUCACAGCAAUUCAGUAUAUUGUAAAGGAAUUGGUGUGAGAUGCAUUAGAGCUGUUGAUAGCUUAAAUGAAAAUAGCACAAUAAGCCUCUGUUUUUGCUGGACAACCUCAGCUCAAAAAUGCCAGAUAAACAUUUUCUACAGAGGUCAUGGACAUGACAUGGUCCAACUAUACUUUCAUUUACAAGUAAUUAAAAUAAAUUGAA